AUGAACGCUAGCGGCAGGCUUAACACAUGCAAGUCGAGGGGUAUAUGUCUUCGGAUAUAGAGACCGGCGCACGGGUGCGUAACGCGUAUGCAAUCUACCUUUUACAGGGGAAUAGCCCAGAGAAAUUUGGAUUAAUGCCCCAUAGUAUUAUAGAAUGGCAUCAUUUUAUAAUUAAAGUCACAACGGUAAAAGAUGAGCAUGCGUCCCAUUAGUUAGUUGGUAAGGUAACGGCUUACCAAGACAAUGAUGGGUAGGGGUCCUGAGAGGGAGAUCCCCCCCACUGGUACUGAGACACGGACCAGACUCCUACGGGAGGCAGCAGUGAGGAAUAUUGGACAAUGGGCGCAAGCCUGAUCCAGCCAUGCCGCGUGCAGGAAGACGGUCCUAUGGAUUGUAAACUGCUUUUAUACAGGAAGAAACACUCCGACGUGUCGGAGCUUGACGGUACUGUAGGAAUAAGGAUCGGCUCACUCCGU
rnacentral:rRNA from 1 species